UGGGGAAUUUUGGACAAUGGGCGCAAGCCUGAUCCAGCAAUGCCGCGUGCAGGAUGAAGGCCUUCGGGUUGUAAACUGCUUUUGUACGGAACGAAAAAGCUCUCUCUAAUACAGGGGGUGAAUGACGGUACCGUGAGAAUAAGCACCGGCUAACUACGUGCCAGCAGCCGCGGUAAUACGUAGGGUGCAAGCGUUAAUCGGAAUUACUGGGCGUAAAGCGUGCGCAGGCGGUUUUGUAAGACAGAGGUGAAAUCCCCGGGCUCAACCUGGGAACUGCCUUUGUGACUGCAAAGCUGGAGUGCGGCAGAGGGGGAUGGAAUUCCGCGCGUAGCAGUGAAAUGCGUAGAUGUGCGGAGGAACACCGAUGGCGAAGGCAAUCCCCUGGGCCUGCACUGACGCUCAUGCACGAAAGCGUGGGGAGCAAACA
rnacentral:rRNA from 1 species